UUUAAACACAAGCUUUUAUUUAGUUGCUGUAGGGAGUAAUCUGUUCCCUUAUUGACUGUGCAUACAAAGCCAUCUGAAGUUCUCACGCUAUCGCUACAGCGCUAAUCAAAAGAAACUCAAAUCUCAACACCGCAGCGGAAGGAGAAAAAGACGAGGCGCGUUCCCGCAGCAAAGCUGGUGCCACGGCACCCCGACAUGUUUACCGGCGGCUGCCGGCUACUCGGCGCCGUGGUGCAGUUUCUACAGCUAAAUUUCACGUAAAAUGCAGACCCGCGUAAGGGGUGCACUGCUUAUGUUGGCAAACAACGACACAAUCGCUGUGAUUGCCUUCAUUCUGGCAACAGUAUUAAUCGUCCUGAGAAGAUCCCUUCGCAAGAUGGUGAUCUUGUGCAUCAUCUUCCCAAGCAUGCCGAUGCUGACUCUGGUCGCCAUCAACAGUCUUCGUCCUGGGACUGAAUUGCUGACAAGUUUGAUGGUGAUUUCAACCAUCAGCUACUUCCGACGCAAACUGUUCUACAACUAGAAGAAAGCCGCAUAAAAAUGCCGACGUUUAUUUACUAUUUACAAGACAUGCAGUUAGAAGAAAAAAAAUACUGCACAAACAAUACAUAUUGUCAAAAUUAACAGAAAUGAACACUUAUGCUACUUAAAAGAUCUCAA